rnacentral:lncRNA from 1 species
AUAAAUCAUCCCCAUUAUAUUUUGACCAUUCUUUUUUUUGCCCUUUUCCCCUCUUUCUUCAAAGAAGCUAACAGUCAAAACAAUUCUACCUGAUGAUAGGCAACGCCAACGCGCGCAAUAAACCGCAAAACGCAGAGAAAAAGAAAAAGAAGCGCACGUUAGCUGAGAAACAAAAGGGAAGAGAAAAAACAAAAGAUUGCAGCGAUCGGACUUCUCUCGGAUCCGAUUUACCGGGUCCGGUUCCUUGUCUAACAACAUUCCUAACUGUGGAAAGAAAUUAUUGAAAAGAAGUGAAUAGAUAAGAGGGGAGAGAUGUGGGUGUUUUACCUGAUCUCGCUGCCAUUAACCNNNN